rnacentral:rRNA from 1 species
GACGAACGCUGGCGGCGCGCUUAACACAUGCAAGUCGAACGGAAAGGCCUGCUUUCCCUUGUGGAUUGCGGGUACUCGAGUGGCGAACGGGUGAGUAACACGUGAGUGAUCUGCCCCCAACUUGGGUAUAAGCCUGGGAAACUGGGUCUAAUUCCCGAUAGGACUGCAGGGUGGUGCCUGUGGUGGAAAACGAUUUUCUAGUGGUUGGGGAUGAGCUCGCGGCCUAUCAGCUUGUUGGUGGGGUAAUGGCCUACCAAGGCGGCGACGGGUAGCCGGCCUGGGAGGGUGGACGGCCCCAUUGGGACUGAGAUACGGCCCAGACUCCUACGGGAGGCAGCAGUGGGGAAUAUUGCACAAUGGGCGGAAGCCUGAUGCAGCGACGCCGCGUGGGGGAUGACGGCCUUCGGGUUGUAAACUCCUUUCGACCGCGAGGAAGCCACCUGGUUGGAAGGGUGGUGACGGUAGUGGUAGAAGAAGCACCGGCUAACUACGUG